GCCUUGCUAGCUCAAUCGGUAGAGCGUAAGACUCUUACAGUCCACCUGACCGGGUAAGCAAUCUUAAGGCUGCGGGUUCGACCCCCGCGUGAGGCU